AUCCUGAGCAUAGCACAUACACUAAAACUGCAACAAUACAGAGAUUAACAUGGCUCCUGCUCAAGGAUGACACUCGUUUUUAGCUUUGUCUGGGCUCCUUUC
ensembl:snRNA U6 U6 spliceosomal RNA